ACCCUGCCUAGAAGUAGCAGAGUGAUUGGAAAAGAAUGUCUUUGCCCUUGACAUGUGAAAUGUCUUAUUACGGGAUCUCUGAAAAGUGCUGAGCUGUUAAGUGUUUAAGCGACACAACGUGCCAUUCAAAGCUUCUGCAGUUGGAGAGCCCGUGCCAAUCUGAUCAGCAUGAACUACACUUGCAGAGGUUUGCCACGUCCCAGAGCUAUCACUUUGCCUUACCUCACUAAUAACACUCCCCAUUUGUUCCACUCUCCCCCCUUGUCUCAGUGUGGGCAUGUACUUGCAUGUCUUUCUCUCGUGCUCUCUGGUGUAUUUCACCUCUUGUGACGGCUGCAGGCUCCUCCUGCAAUCUGCAAAGGGAAACUUCCCUGCAAUGGGCUUGGUUCUUCCUCUCUGAUCCCAAGUCCACUUGCCUCAAACCAAGACUCCCCAGAAAAUAAACUUGUCUCCCUCCCUUCCCCCAUCCAUCCAAACUGCAUAGCAGUGCAGUGCCCACAGCUGCUAUUUUUCCUGAGCUGCAGCUUCAGGUUGUUGCUGCCCUACUCCUGGCUAUUAAUUCCAGUUUCUUUGCUGCUUUCUCCUCUCAGCACAAGAGCAGAUAUCUCAAAGUGUGGAAACUGAAAAGGAAGAAAGCUAAAGGAACAGUGCUAAAGGAUCAGAAGCAAAGAUGAUUCAGAGUUAUACACGGAAAGGUCUCCUGAGAGCGAGCUAGAUGGCCAUGCUAACCUCAGCGCAUUGUGUUCCAGUAUGGUGAUGUAACUGCAUAAGAGAAUUUGUGGCAAAUUUCACCAUGGGUGCAAACACCUCUUCUAGCAAACCACCAGUCUUUGAUGAAAAUGAAGA